ACAUUUUAAAUUUGUAUUUAUUUAUUUAUUUUUAGCUGUGCUGUACGGCUUGCGGGAUCUUAGUUCCCCGACCAGGGAUUGAACCUGCGUCCUCGGCGGUGAAAGCAUGGAGUCCUAACCACUGGACCGCUAGGGAAUUCCCACUCAACAUUUUUGACACCAAGAAGAAAAAGCAACAGAUGGCAUCUACAUGUUGUAUGCCAAGAUGCUCCCUCAGAGUUUGGAGAGUCCGGGAUCAGGCUGCUGUGGGCCAGGCCACCCAGACGGAUGCAGAGGUGUGGUCUCCUCCCCAGUCUCUGCAGCUCACAGAGCAAGGCCGGAGCAAGCUGGAGGGUGGACCUUCUGCUCUCUUAGUAUCUGGACUUCACCUUGGAUGCUGGAAUCUGGGGAACACGCAGAGUGAUUGCCAAAGCGCCUGGACAGACAGCACAGCCAGUGCCUCCACAGGAGCCCAACCUGAAGGCUGCGAGCACAGAGGCCAGCUCUCCGGAUCCCCCUCAACCCUGCACCCGCCCCAGUCGUGUUCAGAUAUCCUGUUGUAAGAGUCCCAAGGGCUGGGUCUGCUCAGACUAUUUAAGGUUUUGAUCUCAGUGGGGGAGGAACUUUCCCUGAAG